rnacentral:rRNA from 1 species
AUUGAACGCUGGCGGCAGGCCUAACACAUGCAAGUCGAGCGGAGCGGCGGAAGGGUGAGUAACGCCUAGGAAUCUGCCUGGUCGUGGGGGAUAAGGUCCGGAAACGGGCGAUAAUACCGCAUAAUAUCAGAGGAGGCUAGGGCGGAUUAGCUAGGUGGGUGGGUAAAGGCCUACCAAGGCGACGAUCCGUAACUGGUCUGAGAGGAUGAUCAGUCACACUGGAACGGAGACACGGUCCAGACUCCUACGGGAGGCAGCAGUGGGGAAUAUUGGACAAUGGGCGAAAGCCUGAUCCAGCCAUGCCGCGUGUGUGAAGAAGGUCUUCGGAUUGUAAAGCACUUUAAGUUAGGAGGCGUUACCAACAGAAUAAGCACCGGCUAACUUCGUGCCAGCAGCCGCGGGAAUAC